rnacentral:tRNA from 1 species
AAGGCUUUAAGUUAAUUAAACUAAUAGCCUUCAAAGCUGCAAAUAAAACUACUAUUUUAAGCCUUA